AGUGAACGCUGGCGGUAGGCCUAACACAUGCAAGUCGAACGGCAGCACAGUAAGAGCUUGCUCUUACGGGUGGCGAGUGGCGGACGGGUGAGGAAUACAUCGGAAUCUACUUUUUCGUGGGGGAUAACGUAGGGAAACUUACGCUAAUACCGCAUACGACCUACCGGUGAAAGCAGGGGAUCUUCGCACCUUGCGCGAUUGAAUGCGCCGAUGUCGGAUUAGCUAGUUGGCGGGGUAAAGGCCCACCAAGUCGACGAUCCGUAGCUGGUCUGAGAGGAUGAUCGGCCACACUGGAACUGAGACACGGUCCAGACUCCUACGGGAGGCAGCAGUGGGGAAUAUUGGACAAUGGGCGCAAGCCUGAUCCAGCCAUACCGCGUGGGUGAAGAAGGCCUUCGGGUUGUAAAGCCCUUUUGUUGGGAAAGAAAAGCAGCAGGUUGAUACCCCGCUGUUCUGACGGUACCCAAAGAAUAAGCACCGGCUAACUUCGUG
rnacentral:rRNA from 1 species